UUGAGUGUAUGUAAACUUCUGAACCACUGGGGAACGUGAUGAAAGAAAUAAAAGCAGAAAAAAAUCAUUCUCUCUACUAUUAUUCUUACAUUUCACAUUCUUAAAAUAAAGUGGUGAUCCUAACUGACCUGAGACAGGGAAUUUUUACUAGGAUUAAAUGUCAGGAAUUGUGAAAAACUGAGUUUAAAUGUAUUUGGCUAAGGUGUAUGUAAACUUCCGACUUCAACUGUAUAAAAGCCCUCUAACUACAAUGAAGAGGAAGACGUGCCGCUUUGUUCUGGGCCAGCUGCAGCUUAACUAAGUCUUUCCUUGCAGCUUUCAACCACACAGCUGGACAAUAAUCAAGAUAAGACAAGACUAGAGCCUGCAGAACUUGCUUUGUGGAGGGUGGUGUCAAAAAAGCAGAGCAUCUCUUUAUUACGGACAGACCUCUCCCAAAUCUUAACCAUUGAAUCUAGAUGUUUUGACCAUGACAGUUUACAAUCUAAGGUAACACCAAGUAAUUUAGUCUCCUCAACUUGUUCAACAGCCACACCAGUCAUUACCAGAUUCAGCUGAGGUCUAGAAUGCCGCAAUAGAGUGAUUAUUGGAAGACACUACAACUCCUCAUAACAGACACGUGUAACGCCUGAAAUGUAACGCCUCAUACUGCAUUCGGUUACAUUCUACUAUUGUUUACUUAUUGUGCAUCGUGUUCAAUGGGCCAAGAGAAUGAAAAUACAAGCGACAGAACGUAGCAACACUUUCCUGUGGAUAUCUCCAACUCUUACCGCCAAAAGGACCAGCAGCAUGUACAACCGGUAAAUCUGAUGUUUAGGCAAGCCCCAAGACAGAGACUCUCCAACCCUAAGUUGUCCAACCAUCCCUACUUCACCCUGGAGAAGCUGGGGCCUGUGCUUAGACCGCUGGAGGUACAGUCAGAGACCUGAACAGCGACUCCUUCAACUCUCUCCCUGUCUCUAUCUGUUUCUUGCUUGUAGUCUUGUUUUAUUCUCGCUCUGAACAGCUGCUACCUCAUUUAGUAGGUGUAUGGAUGCUCUGUUUGUGUAACGGCAUUGUUGUCAACUCCUCUUUCUCCUCUUUCUCUAAUGUUUAUCUUCACUGAUACGCCAGUAUUUUAAAGUGUGCCCGACAACUGAUGUAAAAGGGCUUUAUAAAUACAUUUGAUUGUACCCAAGUCUUUAUACUGCAUGUAUUGGUUAUCUAAUCUUUCUCACUGGUAGGGUUCUGUUUUUUCAGAUGGUUUCACUACAACAGGUGAUGAUACCAGGCAAGUAAUACGCCAGUCAUCUGACGAUUUCACUAUCAAUACUUUUACUUUUCUUCUGACCAACACAUUCCUCGCCUUUCCCAACUUCCCCGUUCUCCCCCAGUGGACAGUGUGCGACUUGAGUUUAAUCAGUUGUCUGUGGUGGAUCGUGGACUUGUGCAACCUGUGGUUAUACUGGACCUCGCUCAGGUAAGCUAACACCCUCCCCAUUCUCAGGUGAUUCACCUGGUAUUGUCACAAUUGUAUUCAGUUCUAGUCAAGUUUAUUCCAUUUUAACCUCUAACCCAGGUUGUUUGUUCUUGGGAAAAAAACUACUUGAAUGACUAAACUACUAAACUGGGCAGAAAUGACAAAAAGUGUCAACAUUAGCCUGCUAAUAAUCACUGAAACAAAAGGUAGACAGUCAGGGACCAUCAGCAUUUCCAAACAUGAUGGAAAGAGGAGUAUUUGUGGGGCUAUUUGACAGCAGAACGAACACCAGUCUUAGACUUGGAGAGCAUCAGAAGCUCCAAAAAUGAUGGAUAAUGGAAUUUCCCCCCUCAAAUUGUCCUUGCACAAUGUGGCAGUGUUGUUCUCCGGACCACAGCGAAGACUAGUUAUUUUCAACAUGUAUUUAAUUGGCACAGUUUACACAAUACAAAGUAUUCAGUGCUCCGAAACGCAAGCAUAUACCAAAUGGAACACAAACAAAAAAAAGUGCGAAACACACCAUUUGGCAGACUUUACAAAACAAAAACAAUAAAACAAAGUCUUAUCAAAGCGAGAGAAAAAAGUAACGGUAGGUCCUUUUAAUCGUUAAAACCUUAAAAAUAGACUGUUUAUUUCCUUUUUUUGUCUUAGUUGAAUCAAUAUUUAUUUAUAUAUUUAUAUAUAUUCUCUCUAAUUCCAACAAGCCAUUUCUUCUGUACAGAUGCGCUGGGGCCAGGCUGAAGGUCUAGGAUGGUCUGAGUCCAGCAUUAGCAGGAGGAGAUAAGCAGAUUCCCCUCUAUACUGGCUCGCUUCUGAGUGGGUCUAUCUGUCUGUCAGCGCACUACAGAUAUGCAACUUCUGAUGGUCUGCAUGGAAAUCAGUUUUGCCUUUUCACUUCUCACAAACAAAACAACUGCCAAAUGAAUAUCUACAAUAAUCAAAAUAAGAGAUGGACGGAUGGGAAUAGCAAAAGGAGACUUUGACCUGACCUGAUUCUCGGCCAAAGAACUUAUAGAUUUGCGCUGCUUCUAUAUCAUGACAAGUAACUGGGACUCCAAAUGAUGAUGGAUCACUGUUCGUUUGUUGUUCUAAUGAUAAUAUACAGGGUUUGCAUUGAUACAAUUUCAGUUGCUGCUCUUUGAAAUGUUGCUUGAGUAGGAAUAUUGUAAUAAAAAAAAGUUUCAAGACA